UUGAACGCUGGCGGCAGGCCUAACACAUGCAAGUCGAACGGUAACAGGAAGCAGCUUGCUGCUUCGCUGACGAGUGGCGGACGGGUGAGUAAUGUCUGGGAAACUGCCUGAUGGAGGGGGAUAACUACUGGAAACGGUAGCUAAUACCGCAUAACGUCGCAAGACCAAAGAGGGGGACCUUAGGGCCUCUUGCCAUCGGAUGUGCCCAGAUGGGAUUAGCUAGUAGGUGGGGUAACGGCUCACCUAGGCGACGAUCCCUAGCUGGUCUGAGAGGAUGACCAGCCACACUGGAACUGAGACACGGUCCAGACGCCUACGGGAGGCAGCAGUGUGGAAUAUUGCACAAUGGGCGCAAGCCUGAUGCAGCCAUGCCGCGUGUAUGAAGAAGGCCUUCGGGUUGUAAAGUACUUUCAGCGGGGAGGAAGGGAGUAAAGUUAAUACCUUUGCUCAUUGACGUUACCCGCAGAAGAAGCACCGGCUAACUCCGUG
rnacentral:rRNA from 1 species